rnacentral:rRNA from 1 species
ACGGGAGGCAGCAGUGGGGAAUAUUGGACAAUGGGGGAAACCCUGAUCCAGCGACGCCGCGUGAGUGAAGAAGUAUUUCGGUAUGUAAAGCUCUUUAAGCUGGGAAGAAAAUGACGGUACCAGCAGAAUAAGUCCCGGCUAACUACGUGCCAGCAGCCGCGGUAAUACGUAGGGGACAAGCGUUAUCCGGAUUUACUGGGUGUAAAGGGAGCGUAGACGGCAAUGCAAGUCUGAAGUGAAAGCCCGUGGCUUAACUGCGGAACUGCUUUGGAAACUGUAUAGCUAGAGUGUCGGAGAGGUGAGUGGAAUUCCUAGUGUAGCGGUGAAAUGCGUAGAUAUUAGGAGGAACACCAGUGACGAAGGCGGCUUACUGGACUGUAACUGACGUUGAGGCUCGAAAGCGUGGGGAGCAAACAGGAUUAGAUACCCUGGUA